rnacentral:rRNA from 1 species
CCUACGGGGAGCAGCAGUGAGGAAUAUUGGUCAAUGGACGAGAGUCUGAACCAGCCAAGUAGCGUGAAGGAUGACUGCCCUAUGGGUUGUAAACUUCUUUUAUAUGGGAAUAAAAUGUUCCACGUGUGGGAUUUUGUAUGUACCAUAUGAAUAAGGAUCGGCUAACUCCGUGCCAGCAGCCGCGGUAAUACGGAGGAUCCGAGCGUUAUCCGGCUUUAUUGGGUUUAAAGGGAGCGUAGGUGGAUUGUUAAGUCAGUUGUGAAAGUUUGCGGCUCAACCGUAAAAUUGCAGUUGAAACUGGCAGUCUUGAGUACAGUAGAGGUGGGCGGAAUUCGUGGUGUAGCGGUGAAAUGCUUAGAUAUCACGAAGAACUCCGAUUGCGAAGGCAGUUCACUGGACUGCAACUGACACUGAGGCUCGAAAGUGUGGGUAUCAAACAGGAUUAGAUACCCCAGUAGUC